AUCAACUUUCGAUGGUAGGAUAGAGGCCUACCAUGGUGGUAACGGGUAACGGGGUGUUAGGGCACGACACCGGAGAGGGAGCCUGAGAAACGGCUACCACAUCCAAGGAUGGCAGCAGGCGCGCAAAUUACCCAAUCCCGACACGGGGAGGUAGUGACAAUAAAUAACAAUACGGGGUUCUUUAGGAUCUCGUAAUUGGAAUGAGUACAAUUUAAAUCUCUUAACGAGGAACAAUUGGAGGGCAAGUCUGGUGCCAGCAGCCGCGGUAAUUCCAGCUCCAAUAGCGUAUAUUAAAGUUGUUGCAGUUAAAAAGCUCGUAGUUGAAUUUCGGGGUUAGUAGGUUGGUCAUGCCUCUGGUAUGUACUGGUCUCACUGAUUCCUCCUUCCUGAUGAACCUUAAUGCCAUUUAUUUGGUGUUUUGGGGAAUUUGGACUGUUACUUUGAAAAAAUUAGAGUGUUUAAAGCAAGCUAACGCUUGAAUACAUUAGCAUGGAAUAAUGAAAUAGGACGUUCGAUCCUAUUUUGUUGGUUUCUAGGAUUGACGUAAUGAUUAAUAGGGAUAGUUGGGGGCAUUAGUAUUCAAUUGUCAGAGGUGAAAUUCUUGGAUUUAUUGAAGACUAACUACUGCGAAAGCAUUUGCCAAGGAUGUUUUCAUUAAUCAAGAACGAAAGUUAGGGGAUCGAAGACGAUCAGAUACCGUCGUAGUCUUAACCAUAAACUAUGCCGACUAGGGAUCGGAUGAUGUUAAUUUUUUAAUGACUCAUUCGGCGCCCUACGGGAAACCAAAGUGUUUGGGUUC
rnacentral:rRNA from 1 species